rnacentral:rRNA from 1 species
UACGAAGGGGGCUAGCGUUGUUCGGAAUUACUGGGCGUAAAGCGCACGUAGGCGGACAUUUAAGUCAGGGGUGAAAUCCCGGAGCUCAACUCCGGAACUGCCUUUGAUACUGGGUGUCUUGAGUGUGGAAGAGGUGAGUGGAAUUCCGAGUGUAGAGGUGAAAUUCGUAGAUAUUCGGAGGAACACCAGUGGCGAAGGCGGCUCACUGGUCCAUUACUGACGCUGAGGCACGAAGGUCAGGGGAGCAAACGGG